UCAAAGGUGUUUUAACACCAUCACACACAAACUUAACAAUAUUAU
rfam:Dictyostelium discoideum AX4 chromosome 1, whole genome shotgun sequence.